rnacentral:rRNA from 1 species
UACGUAGGGGGCAAGCGUUGUCCGGAUUUAUUGGGCGUAGAGAGCGUGUAGGCGGCUAGAUAGGUCCGUUGUGAAAACUCGAGGCUCAACCUCGAGACGUCGAUGGAAACCAUCUGGCUAGAGUCCGGAAGAGGAGAGUGGAAUUCCUGGUGUAGCGGUGAAAUGCGCAGAUAUCAGGAAGAACACCCGUGGCUAAGGCGGCUCUCUAGUACGGUACUGACGCUGAGACGCGAAAGCGUGGGGAGCGAACAGG